rnacentral:rRNA from 1 species
UACGUAGGGGGCAAGCGUUGUCCGGAUUUAUUGGGCGUAAAGAGCUCGUAGGUGGUUCGGUAAGUCGGAUGUGAAAUCUCCAGGCUCAACCUGGAGGGGUCAUUCGAUACUGCCGUGACUAGAGGUCGGUAGGGGAGUGUGGAAUUCCUGGUGUAGCGGUGAAAUGCGCAGAUAUCAGGAGGAACACCGGUGGCGAAGGCGGGUCUCUGGGCAAUAACUGACGCUGAGGAGCGAAAGCGUGGGGAGCGAACAGG